rnacentral:rRNA from 1 species
AUACGGAAGGUCCGGGCGUUAUCCGGAUUUAUUGGGUUUAAAGGGAGCGCAGGCGGAGAUGCAAGCGUGACGUCAAAUUUCGGGGCUCAACCCCGUCUCGCGUCGCGAACUGCGUCCCUUGGUUGCGGGAAGGGGAGGCGGAACUCGUGGUGUAGCGGUGAAAUGCAUAGAUAUCACGAAGAACUCCGAUCGCGAAGGCAGCCUUCCGGCCCGUCAACGACGCUCAUGCUCGAAGGUGCGGGUAUCAAACAGGAUUAGAUACCCUGGUAGUCCGCACAGUAAACGAUGGACACCCGCGGUUUGGCCUAUAUGGCUGAGCCGCCAAGCGAAAGCGUUAAGUGUCCCACCUGGGGAGUACGCCGGCAACGGUGAAACUCAAAGGAAUUGACGGGG